UCUUCAGAGUCGUGGGUUGUCUCGAGAUCCUGGAUGAGCCCCCAAAUGAAAGACCAUGGGGGUGGGGAAGACCCCCACUCAAAUCUCAAGACAAUGCAACCCCCAAGAACUCACGAGAAACC
rnacentral:pre_miRNA from 14 species